rnacentral:rRNA from 1 species
UGAGGAAUAUUGCGCAAUGGGGGAAACCCUGACGCAGCGACGCCGCGUGAGUGAUGAAGGCCUUCGGGUUGUAAAGCUCUGUCAGAGGGAAAGAAAGGGGAUGCGGAAUAAUACACGCAGCCAUUGACGGUACCCUCGGAGGAAGCACCGGCUAACUGCGUGCCAGCAGCCGCGGUAAUACGGAGGGUGCAAGGGUUAUUCGGAAUCACUGGGCGUAAAGAGCACGUAGGCGGAUGGGUAAGUCAGAUGUGAAAUCCCGGGGCUGAACGUCGGAACUGCAUUUGAGACUGCCCGGCUUGAGUGUGGUAGAGGGGGAUGGAAUUCCCGGUGUAGAGGUGAAAUUCGUAGAUAUCGGGAGGAACACCAGAGGCGAAGGCGAUCCCCUGGGCCAUUACUGACGCUGAGGUGCGAAAGCGUGGGGAGCAAACA